GCCUAUGGCCAUACCACCCUGAACGCACCUGAUCUCUUUUGAUCUCAGAAGCUAAGCAGGGUUGGGCCUGGUUACUACUUGGAUGGGAGACUUCCUGGGAAUACCAGGUACUGUAGGCU